GCCACAAAUUAUUGUCUGCCUUCACUCAAUCCAUACCAAGCACCUUUGUUUCCCUGCGUUGUGUUGUGAGCUCCAGGCGUUGCCAUGGCUGAGGUACUGGCCACCAUGGUGGUCGGGCCACUGCUGUCCAUGGUGAAGGAGAAGGCCUCCAGCUACCUCCUGGACCAGUACCAGGUGAUGGAGGGCAUGGAGGAGCAGCACAAGCUCCUGAAGCGCAAGCUGCCGGCCAUCCUCGAUGUCAUCGCCGAUGCCGAGCAGCAGGCGGCGAAACAGAGAGAAGGGGCCAAAGCUUGGCUGGAGGAGGUCCGGACGGUGGCCUACAAGGCGAAUGAUGUCCUCGACGAGUUCAAGUACGAGGCGCUUCGCCGCAAAGCCAAGGCGGAGGGUCACUACAAGGCGCUCGGCAUGGAUGUAAUAAAGCUCUUCCCAUCUCACAACCGUUUUGUGUUCCGUUAUAAGAUGGCAAAAAGGCUCUGCAUGAUCUUGCAAGAAAUUGAUGUCCUCAUCGUAGAGAUGAAUACAUUCAGGUUCGAAUUCAAACAGCAGCCGCAAAUGCCCAUGCAAUGGAGGCAGACGGAUGCUUGCAUCCCCACUGAGUCUGUGGACAUUGCCAGCGAAUCAAGAGCUCAAGAGACGAAGGAUCUUGUUCAUCAAUUGCUCAAGAGCAGUAAGGAUCGAUUGCUUGCUGGAGCCAGUAGUAAGGAUCUCAUGGUCCUUCCGAUAGUCGGAAUGGGGGGGUUGGGCAAGACCACCUUAGCACAGCUCGUUUACAAUGACACUGAAAUUAAGAAGCAUUUCGAGUUGCGGCUCUGGGUGUGUGUCUCUGAUGAUUUUGAUGUCGAUUCCCUGGCUAACAGAAUAGUGAAAGAGAAUGGUUGUGAAGCAAGUGGAAGUUCAUCAGCACUGGACAAUCUUCAAAAGGUAGUGAGUGGGAAGAGGUACCUCCUCGUAUUGGAUGAUGUGUGGAACCGUGAUGAGCCCAGCAAGUGGGAAAGGCUGAAGUCCUACCUUCAGCAUGGUGGCAGCGGUAGCUCAGUGCUGACAACAACUCGCGAUGAAGCUGUUGCUAAACUAAUGAUGGGUACAACUGAAGGAGCCUAUAAACUUGGAAGCUUGGAUGAAGAGUCCUUAGGGAAAAUUAUCAAGGCAAGAGCAUUAUUCGGUUCAAAACAGCCUGGUGAACUAGUUAACAUGGUUGGUGAAGUUGCCAAGAGAUGUGCUGGUUCUCCUUUAGCUGCUACAGCAUUGGGCUCUUUACUGGGUACCAAGACCAGCAAGCAAGAAUGGGAGGAUGUAAUAAAUGGAAGCACGAUUUGUGAUGAGGAAAAUGGGAUUUUACCAGUACUUAAACUAAGUUACAAUUGCUUGCCAUCAUACAUACGGCAAUGCUUUGCUUUCUGUGCUAUGUUUCCCAAGGAUUAUGAGAUUGACGUGCAAAUGCUAAUCCACUUGUGGAUGGCCAAUGGUUUUAUCCCAGAGCAAUCAAAAGUGUGUCCUGAAACUUUUGGAGAAAGAAUUUUCAUUGAGCUGAAGUCAAGGUCAUUUUUUCAGGAUUUGAAGAAUGUCCCAUUUGAUGAAAAAUAUUUUAGUUAUGCAAAGGGUAAAAAGGACAUGUAUUGUUCUAGAAUUACUUGUAAGAUCCAUGACCUUAUGCAUGAUGUUGCACAGUCUGCUAUGGGAGAAGAAUGUGCUGCAAUAGCUACACACCCAAGCGAAAGAGAGGAUGUUCUUCGUUCAGUCCGUCACUUGUAUUUGUUAAUCUAUCGACGAGAAACUCUUCUGAAUGCUGAGAAAGGAUCUCCAGCUUUCCAAACACUGAUUUGUGACGGAUAUGAAGGAGAUUUGAAGAUUUUAUCAAAAUACAACUCUAUAAGAGCUUUAAAGAAUAAUAUCUAUUGUGGUUCAAUCCUAAGGCCGAAAUAUCUUCAUCACCUGAGGUAUCUUGAUCUCUCAGGAAGUUUUUUUGUAGCACUUCCUGAAGACAUCAGCAUCCUAUAUCAUCUGCAAACACUGAACCUUUCUUACUGUCAUCGUCUUGAACGACUUCCAAAGCAACUGAAGUAUUUGACUGCCCUCCGUCACCUCAACACUCACAGAUGUGAGCAGUUGAAAAGCAUGCCUGCAGAGCUCGGACGCCUAACUUCCCUACAGACGCUUACAGACUUUGUAGCAGGUGCCGACGACUCCGGUUGCAGUAAUUUGGGAGAGCUGCAGAAUUUGGACCUUGGUGGUACACUGGAGCUAAGCAAGCUAGAAAAUGUGACAGGAGCAGAUGCACAAGCAGCAGGUCUUGGAAACAAGAAAAAACUGACCGAACUGGUGUUAUAUUGGACCGAUAGUAACCAGGAAGCACAGAAUAAUAAUCAUAAAGAGGUGGUGGAAGGUCUCAAACCUCAUGAUGGGUUGAAGGCUCUGAGGAUAAAUCAAUGUGGGAGCAGAACUUUUCCAACUUGGAUGAAUACUUUGAAAGGCAUGGUGGAGCUCAAAUUAUUCGUUUGCAAAAAGCUCGAAGAGCUUCCUGCACUCUGGGAGCUACCAGCUCUGCAAAUUCUUCACCUGGAGGGUCUGGAGAGUUUACAUUGUUUGUGCAGCGGUGGUACUACACCCGUCACAUUUCCAAAACUGAAGGUGCUUACCUUGUUAAAAAUGGCAAAAUUUGAGGCAUGGUGGGAGACACAUGAGGUACAAGGAGAAGAGCCCAUAUUUCCCAAGGUCGAGGAGCUGGAGAUUAAGGAGUGUAACAGUUUGACUGCAUUACCAAAAGCAACGUCGGUGAUUACAGAAUUGUCUGGCAGAGUUGACACUAAGUGCCGCUCUGCAUUUCCAGCAUUGAGGAAAAUGAUCCUAUUUGAGUUGACUAUGUUUGAAAGAUGGGAGGCAGGCGAAGGAAUUUCAGGCGAAGAGGUAACCUUUCCUCAGCUCGAGGAGCUGUCAAUCAUGUAUUGUCAAAGCCUGAGUGCACUACCAAAUGGAGCUGAAACUGUGUGGUGCCGCUCUGCAUUUCCAGCACUGAGGAAACUAGAAUUAUCUAGUUUGUCGGCCCUUGAGAGGUGGGGGGCAGCUGAAGGAACUCCAGGAGAAGAGGUAACCUUUCCUCAGCUCGAGGAGCUGACAAUCGGGUCUUGUCGCAGCCUGAGUGCACUACCAAAAGGGCCAUUAUUGGCUAAGCAACCAUUUGGCAGAGCUGGAACUGUGUGCUGCCGCUCUGCAUUUCCAGCACUGAGAAAACUAAAAUUAUUUUUUUUGUCAGCUCUUGAGAGGUGGGGGGCAGCCGAAGGAACUCCAGGAGAAGAGGUCACAUUUCCUCUGCUGGAGAACUUGAGUAUCGAUGAUUGCCCGAAGUUGACUGAUCUACCUGAAGCACCGAAGCUAAGUGAAUUAUCCAUAAGAACAUAUGGUGAUCAGCAAAUAUCGCUAGAGGCAGCUAGCAGAUGCAUCCCUUCAUUGUCCCGUCUGCAUCUGGAUGUGUCGCCCGAUGACACAGAAACAACAUUGCUGCAUGUCAAGAAGAAAUUGAAUGGUACACUCGCCCUACCAGCUAUGAGGUUAGGUUGCUGCGACGUUUUUUUCUCCUCCCGCUCAAGCGCACUGGCGCUAUGGACAUGUUUUGCACAGCUAGUAGAUUUGAAGAUUUGGUGUUGCGAUGCUCUUGUCUACUGGCCAGAAAACGUGUUCCAGGUCCUAGUAUGCCUGAGGAACUUACAUAUUUCCACAUGUAGCAAACUGACAGGACGCACACAAGCUUCUGAUGAGCAAUCUGCUCCAGCUCCAGAACGUGGUGGACUCCUGCCAUGCCUGGAGUCUCUAAGGAUAGAUUAUUGUCCAUCUUUGGUAGAGGUCCCCAUCCUGCCGGCAUCUCUUAAGACAUUACAUAUUGAAGGCUGUGAUGAAAUCGAGUCCAUCGUAUUCUGUCACCCGGAGGAUACGAGAUUGGUGAGUGGAGAAGGUGUUGUACGGCCGGAUACGUCAUCAUUAAUUCCAGGGUCUACAGCUGUACUGAAGCUGUCAUCUGGAGCCAACCAUCGUUUCCUUCCAUUUCCAUGCCUAGAAUAUCUACUUAUAUGGUAUUGCAGUGGCUUGUCAGAGGUUGCCAAUCUUCCUCCGUCUAUCAAGACCUUGGACAUUUAUUCCUGUAACAAUCUUCAAUCCCUAUCAGGAGACCUCCCGUUGCUGGAAAAACUCGACCUUUUUAGAUGCGAAAGACUGGUAUCCUUACCGGAUGGGCCUCAAGCAUACUCAUCUCUUAGAGUUCUUCGGAUAAUGAAUUGUGAUGGUAUAAAGUUGCUUCCGCCAAACCUUCAGAGCCGUUUGGGUUACCUUGAGAAGAAAGAUCUAGAUGCCCGUUACGAAGAACCAACCUGGAAACGUUCGAUCAGGAAGCUGGUGUGCUUGAAAUAGUAGAUCAAGACCUGACCAAAGAAAGUUAUUUCCAAGGUAUUUUUGCAAAAACGUCACCAAGGAUCGUGCUAGAUCUGCAAAAGAUGGAUUAUUGUGACUCUUGUUUAGAAUGUAUCAUAUGCGCAUUCUCUCCAGUAAAGUUAAGGCAAAGUCCUAGAUUUUGAGCAGAAAACAAGUCCUAGAUUGCAAGCUGAAGAAUUUAGCACACAGAGCUGCAUGCUCCAGUCUUUUAUCCUUAUUUUUUUCUUUUGAACUAUGACGUGUUUGCAUUCGUGUCUGCUUCAGCCUCCAGCACAAGCGAAACACGGGCAGCACUUCCAUUUUAUGAUUUGUUUAUCCACAUACAUGUCCGAUUGACCGCAGAGGAUACUUUGCCAUAGAGUAGACCAACAGUCCAACGUACUCAUGUUGUUGCUCGACAAGCUGUCCAAGCUGCUGCUUGAUAUGAACUGAAAGUGCUGAGUUUUCUCCCGUGUAUGUUCUGUGUAUCAAAUACUGAAUGGUGUGCAGGGUGAUCCUCCAUCCUGGAAUGGCACGGUCUUGUGCAGAGGUCUCAUUGUUGUUGACCUGUUUCUUCAAAACUGCAUGUGCAGCAACAUUUUCUCCUGGCAGUGCUGCAAUGGAAUUGAAAAGAAUGGUGAUUGUUAUAGUAUAAUUGUCAUAUAUAGUCUGGGACACAAAACAAUGGAGGUACAUGAGCAAGGAAGAAGCUCUGGAGGCAGGGGAUGGAACAGAACAGAGACACGGACUCUGUCUUCUUCCGAAUGCAGCUCCUCUGUAUUGGCGAUGAAGGACCCUACAAGUUGGUUCUCAUAGACAGAAUUGAGAGCUACGGAUGUCCGCUCCCAAGAACGAACUGCCAGAGCAAGAAGAUGAACGUAAUCUGUAUAGAUAAAAAAAUUUAACAGAAGUUUUCAUGAGUUAUCCUUUGUCUGGGGCCAUAGUACAAACCCUGCAUUUCGAAUUUGGGACUGCCCUCCUGUAUGGUGUGACCUAAAUUUUAACAAAAAUUAUCC